rnacentral:rRNA from 1 species
CCUACGGGAGGCAGCAGUGGGGAAUAUUGGGCAAUGGGCGCAAGCCUGACCCAGCAACGCCGCGUGAAGGAAGAAGGCUUUCGGGUUGUAAACUUCUUUUGUCAGGGACGAAGCAAGUGACGGUACCUGACGAAUAAGCCACGGCUAACUACGUGCCAGCAGCCGCGGUACUACGUAGGUGGCAAGCGUUAUCCGGAUUUACUGGGUGUAAAGGGCGUGUAGGCGGGGAAGCAAGUCAGAUGUGAAAACCACGGGCUCAACCUGUGGCCUGCAUUUGAAACUGGUUUUCUUGAGUGCUGGAGAGGCAAGCGGAAUUCCGUGUGUAGCGGUGAAAUGCGUAGAUAUACGGAGGAACACCAGUGGCGAAGGCGGAUUGCUGGACAGUAACUGACGCUGAGGCGCGAAAGCGUGGGGAGCAAACAGGAUUAGAUACCCUAGUAGUC